rnacentral:rRNA from 1 species
UACGUAGGGGGCGAGCGUUGUCCGGAAUUAUUGGGCGUAAAGAGCGUGUAGGCGGUUCGGUAAGUCUGCCGUGAAAACCCAGGGCUCAACCCUGGGCGUGCGGUGGAUACUGCCGGGCUAGAGGGUGGUAGAGGCGAGUGGAAUUCCCGGUGUAGCGGUGAAAUGCGCAGAUAUCGGGAGGAACACCGGUGGCGAAGGCGGUUCUCUGGGCCUGUACUGACGCUGAGGAGCGAAAGCGUGGGGAGCGAACAGG